AAAUCGGUCCUUUUCAGGACCACAAUAUUUCUAACAAGGAGAUUUCU
rfam:Drosophila mojavensis strain TSC#15081-1352.22 Ctg01_10998, whole genome shotgun sequence.